UACGGAGGAUCCAAGCGUUAUCCGGAUUUAUUGGGUUUAAAGGGUCCGUAGGCGGUUUGGUAAGUCAGUGGUGAAAGCCCAUCGCUCAACGGUGGAACGGCCAUUGAUACUGCCAGACUUGAAUUAUUAGGAAGUAACUAGAAUAUGUAGUGUAGCGGUGAAAUGCUUAGAGAUUACAUGGAAUACCAAUUGCGAAGGCAGGUUACUACUAAUGGAUUGACGCUGAUGGACGAAAGCGUGGGUAGCGAACAGG
rnacentral:rRNA from 1 species